rnacentral:tRNA from 1 species
CGGAGUGUAGACCCGUAAUCUGGUAGCGGCCUCGCCUUGGAAGCGAGUGGGUAAUGCCCUUGCAGGUUCAAAUCCUGCCUCUCCGACCA